rnacentral:lncRNA from 1 species
GUGAAUUGAUACAACGAUUCAGGAAACCAAUAUGGAAUUGUUCUAAAAGAAUCACUCAACUGUAGAUAACCAGUGAUGCACAUGAAUAGGCAAAUACCCUAAGGAGGUGAAGGAAAGGAAAGGUUUUAUAUAUUAAAAAAUAUUUAUAGUAACAUUUUUUGUAGUAGUGAAGAAAUAAAAGCUGGUAUAAUAGAGAGGGGGACUUUGAAAAGGAAGGAACCAAUGAACAGCUGUUUGGGGAUUUAAUUCUAAGUGACACUUCCUCCCCCCAUCCUUAAGCUGAACUGUUAACAAUGGAGUCAGUCAGGCUAGACUAAAGGGGGUUUCUUGGCAAAGAUUCUGGAGUGGCUUGCCAUUUCCUUCUCCAGCUCAUUUUACAGAGGAGGAAACUGAGGCAAACUAGGACUUCUCUUCCAAACUGGAAAGGUUUCAAGCUCAAGCCUGGCAACAUACAGUUUAUCUAUCAUCUGAAGACCAGCAAAGCCAGCCAAAUUCAAGAGGUUUACAGGCAAUUACACAGGCAGUCAUCUAGCAAGGUCCUGAGGGGACAAACGACCAGGCAAGUUUGGCUGAAGGAUGGUCCGAAAAAGCCUGCAUCAUCUGAUGAUUCCCAGGGAGGCCGACCCAGAAGAUCUAAGCAACCUAAGGGUGCGGAGCACUCACUGACUGGGUGGGAGGGCAGGAUUGCUAAAAGGAAAGAAGAAAGAAGCCCUAAAAGAGAUGUAGAAAGUAAAUGAGUAUCAGAGACAAGGUGACCUACAGUGCUUUGAAAGACAGAAGAACCAUCAGAGAUCCAACAACAGGAAAUCAUAGCAGUCUAUUAAGACAUUUCAACAUUGAGGAGUGAUCUGCUUGACGCAGUCCAGCAGUGGAUUGACCCAGCAAUCAAGUAUUAUGUCCUGAAAACAAAGGAGUGAUGUUAAUAAAAUAAGUUAAAUUGAUACUGGAAGCUAAUCA